GAGAGAGCGCGAUCGAGGGGAGGCCCCGGCUACGGGAGGAGGACGGGGGGGCGGGGCCGGCCACUCGCCCGCCCCGAGCCGGACUCUCAGUCCCCGCGGGCUGAGCCCCCGGACACCUGCGGUCGCUCCGCUCGCUGGACCGCUCGGCCUCCGUGCGCUCAGGUGCCUGCCCCGCUCAAGGCUCCCUUCCCGACCGCCGGGGGCUCCAGGGCCUCAUUUCCUGCUGAUGCCCCUUCAAAAGCCACGUCCUAAGGAACCGCGCCAUUAUCACGCCCGCGCCAGUGGGCUCAGGGGGUCCCGCGUUCGAUGGUUACGGGACUCAUGGAAAGAAGAGGAUCAGGAAGAAACGGGACAGGAAGCUGGAGAGGAAGCAGUUCUUGCAGAUUUUAGAGGCAUGUCUCCGGGUUGAGUGUAGAGUGGAUUCAGAAGAACAACAGAGCAGGGACAACCAGGGAAAUCCAGAAUUACGCUUUAUACCCCCUAACAGUGGUUCUCAACCUUCUGGCCCUUUAAAUACAGUUCCUCAUGCUGUGACCCAACCAUAACAUUAUUUUCGUUGCUACUUCAUCACUGUCAUGUUGCUACUGUGAUGAAUCGUCAUGUAAAUAUCUGAUAUGCAGGAUGGUCUUAGGCGACCCCUGUGAAAGGGUCCUUCGACCGCCAAAGGGGUCGCGACCCACAGGCUGAGACCCGCUGCAACCUUCUAUUCCUAGCACGAGACUUGGUGCAUAUUGGGCCAUCAAAAUGCUUUGUACCUUUCAAACCAAUGUUAUUUUGCAACAUUGCACCCUCUUCUCUUGCCACUCGUAUCUGUGUUCUCCCAUCAACCCCCAAGCAGGUACUGUAACCUGUAGCACAUCUGUGUCCCCCAACCCUGGGCUAGAACAGGGCUCUGUGCCUACCUGUAAGUAAAGGGAAUAAAGAAUCCCUCCCACAUAUGGAGACGGUGAAACUGUGGGAGGGAUGAUGAUGUAUUCUGAUUAUCAAAUGUGAAUUCUGAGCCUCCCUUAAUCGCUGGAAAUUUCAUUAUUCUGCCUCACAGGUCACACACACCUUCACCCGGACCUGCUGCCACCCACCACAAUGACCAUGGAGGAAACUGAAAAGCAGUUUGGUUUUCCUCCAGCCUUCCCAUCGGUGGCCUUCCUCCUGAAUUCCUUAGGUAUUCGACAUCUUUAUACUGGACCCCUGGUCAUCCAAAUGAGAAGCAGGUAGGGGCUCGGGCACACAGAAAUCCUCCUAAGUGCUGCGCUGACCUAAGAGCCCAUCAGAGUCACGUACCUGAGGCCCUCUUCAAGAAUCGGGAGUCAUUUUCAGAAAAACACCUUAGCUUUCUCACCUCAUGCUCGAAAUCAGCGUAAAAACUGUAAUCAUCAACAUACUAUUUGAAGAAACCAUGUAUGGCAAACUUACCGUCUUAGUCAAAUAAACCAUGACAGGCGUGGCGCUA